rnacentral:rRNA from 1 species
UGCCAGCCGCCGCGGUAAUACGGAAGGUGCAAGCGUUAUCCGGAAUCACUGGGUUUAAAGGGUGCGUAGGCGGUUAGAUAAGUCAGAAGUGAAAGCUCAUCGCUUAACGAUGGAAUUGCUUUUGAUACUGUUUAACUUGAAUUAGGUUGAGGUUAGCGGAAUGAGUCAUGUAGCGGUGAAAUGCAUAGAUAUGACUUAGAACACCAAUUGCGAAGGCAGCUGGCUAGACCUAUAUUGACGCUGAGGCACGAAAGCGUGGGGAGCGAACAGGAUUAGAUA